AUUGAACGCUAGCGGCAUGCCUAACACAUGCAAGUCGUACGGUAACAGAUUUUCUUCGGAAAAUGCUGACGAGUGGCGAACGGGUGAGUAAUGCGUGGGAAUCUACCUAAAAGAAGGGAAUAGUUAAUGGAAACAUUAAGUAAUACCCUAUAAUUCUUACGAGACAAAGUAGGGGACUUUAGUAAUAAAGCCUCGCGCUUUUAGAUGAGCCCACGUCAGAUUAGCUAGUUGGUAAGGUAAAUGCUUACCAAGGCAAUGAUCUGUAGCUGAUUUUAGAAGAUGAUCAGCCACACUGGGAUUGAGAUACGGCCCAGACUCCUACGGGAGGCAGCAGUGGGGAAUCUUGGACAAUGGGCGCAAGCCUGAUCCAGCAAUGCCGCGUGUGUGAAGAAGGCCUUAGGGUUGUAAAGCUCUUUCAGCCGGGAAGAAAGCGCACUCUCUAACAUAGGGUGUGGAUGACGGUACCGGAAGAAGAAGCACCGGCUAACUACGUGCCAG
rnacentral:rRNA from 1 species